rnacentral:rRNA from 1 species
UGGGGAAUAUUGCACAAUGGGGGAAACCCUGAUGCAGCGACGCCGCGUGAGCGAAGAAGGUUUUCGAAUCGUAAAGCUCUGUCCUAUGGGAAGAUAAUGACGGUACCAUAGGAGGAAGCCCCGGCUAACUACGUUCCAGCAGCCGCGGUAAUACGUAGGGGGCAAGCGUUGUCCGGAAUCACUGGGCGUAAAGGGUUCGCAGGCGGAAAUGCAAGUCAGUUGUGAAAGGCAGAGGCUCAACCUCUGUAAGCAAUUGAAACUGUAUUUCUUGAGAUGUGGAGAGGCAAGUGGAAUUCCUAGUGUAGCGGUGAAAUGCGUAGAUAUUAGGAAGAAUACCGGUGGCGAAGGCGACUUGCUGGACACAAACUGACGCUGAGGAACGAAAGCGUGGGUAGCAAACAGG